GUCAGGUUGAUCUGGGAUUACAUUCAGCAAUACUUCUCUCUCAUUUCCUGGUGAAUUGGCAAUCUAUCCUAACUGUUGCUGGUUUUCCUUCUCAGGUAAGAUGGCAUACAGCUCACUAUGCCGGGUAUUUGCAAUAUCGAGCACCAGCAUUAUGUGUUGUGAAAUUCCAAAAUACUAUUACAGUUAAUCACCCUUCAUAUAUUUUUUCAGGUAAGAGCACCUUUCAUACAAAAACACAAUGUGCCCGGUGAAAGAUAAAACACAACUACAGGCUUUUUUUUAAAAAAAAAAAACUAUCACCUGUACUAGUGCAGUAAAAUUGCACUUUGAUGCACCCACACAAGAUUCAGUGCAAACCCAAAAAACAGAAGAGAAAAAAAAAUUCCUCUAAUCCCAUUUUAUUUGUAAGGAGGUUGAAAUGGCCUGGAUUAGUCCAGGCUAGCUUUUGCAGGGAAACAAAAUAGAGAGUACUUGAGAGGCUAGGCCCUGUAGCCCCAUCUUUUGAAUACGUGUUAGUGAUGCAUAUUUUCUCUUGAUUUACACUGCAGAUCUGGCUUAGGAUGAUAAGUGUACCUUAUUUUAUCUACCUAUCUGAUGUCUUGCAUCAUAGUUAAUUAUAUGAAUGAAUUGACAACUCGAUAUUUGUCUACACCCUGCAUUUUUUCCCGUAUUCAUCCAUUGCCUGACUGUUUACAUGGAUGCAUGUAGAACCUUGUGCUGUUUUGGUUCAUAAGUUUAGUAGAUAGAAUCUUAUGAUGCAGAAUGAAAUUUCCCUUUUCCUUGGAUGAUAUAAAAGUAACAUACUCUUUGGAUGUGAGCAAUUAGACAUGUCACUAGCGCCCCAACAGAUCAGCUCAAAGUAUGUUCCCACCCAUGUUUGUAAGUAAAAAGAUUGUCCAGGUCCAUUUUCUUUGUUUAGCAUUCCUUGGUAUUAUUUCCCAAAUUCAUUUGUUCAGCAUGGGAAGGCCUUUUUUGUCAAAAUGCGUGAUGGUCAGUAAUGCAGAGCUUUUAUUUUGUAACUUUAUUGGCACAGAUGGAUUCUAACCAAGAAUUUGAGAAUAUUAGUUAAUCUCUUUCUGUGUAACAUGUUUAUUCAAUAGUGUUUGUUUGCAUGUUCGAGGUAUGAAUUUACAGUUGAGGUUAUGCAUGCCAAGAAGUAUAUAUUUUUUGGGGGGUUUUUUUGCCUGGUGCAUUCUAACCAGUGGCUUGGAGCAUGCUUAAGCAGACUGUGCUUUAGCCCAGUCUGUACACCGGAAAUCAUUAUCCCGACAUACAUGAUUUUAUUCAGACUUUAUCAUUACCUUUAGAGAUGAUUAUUUCAUACUUCCAAAUAUUCAUUUCUGAAUGUUAUACCUGCUACAUUUAGAGUUCGAUAUAAACGUUUGCAGUUCACAUACUAUCCAAUGGGGCCUUGAAAAAAAAAAGAGCAAGAAUCAAUGACGAAGCAAUGCUUCUUUUCCUCUUGUUUGUAGGUUGAAAGAAUGACUUGAUUUAUGGAGCUAUAAUUAUAUUGAAAAGUUCGUUUUGUAAUUCAAUACAAAGAAGAGUGUGAGCAUGACUAGAAGAUCUCUGUGGAUUUCUUACAAGCAACAAAGAAAAGACUUCGAGGUUGUGAUUGAGGAUGGCAGGUCCUAAGUCACAGGGAACGUGGAACGUGGGUGAGUUCCUCGUCCCGGAACAAGGAACGGGAACGAAGCGGAACUUUAUUCUGAAAACGGAGGGGUCGUCGUUCCAAUACGUGGCAUGGCGAUGAAGGAACGAGAAGGUGGUAGGAUGGAGGAACCAAGUACGCUGAGCUAAAAAUAAAAGGGGAACUCACCGGAUCAACGCUUCAAGCGACGAGCAGCGUUGUUGCUCCUUCGUUGCUCACCGCCAUCAUGCCCCGAGGUGCCUCCGCCAGCGCACGCCGCCGCCGUCGAGCAGGGGAGAGGGCUGCACUGCUAGUCGCAGGUCCAUAUAUAAGAACAGCCGGCAAAAUCCUUGACACAUCUAGAGGGAAGAAAUGAUAAAUGGAUCUUUGUUCCGAGCAGAUCGAAGAAUAUGUAUGUUGGGCAGGAGAUAAGGGGGAAAUUUCAGCAAUCCAACUUAUUUACUCACCGACGGAGCAACAUUUGCUACUGGCCAACUAUUAAGUAGAAAAUGUUUUCAAUGGAAGAAGAAACCUGCACACUUGUGACUCAAAAAUCGUAGUCUGCGGGUCAUGAAGUUUCACUACAAAAUACAAACUAGCUAUUUUGAACUGACUAUUGAUUCACAUAUUAGAAAUGAUCAAUACAGAAAUUUUACAUGGCUGUAGUGCAUUUAAAUAUCAUUUUUAGGGGGUAAAUAUAGUGCUCAAUUUUCUUUCCAUAUUUAUGGCAACUUUUCAAUUCCUAAUGGAACUUGCAUACUGAUGUGGAUGUCUUUGCAGAGAGAAAUACGCUCGUUACAUGAGAUAGAGGAUUUUGUUGGGAGGCAAUUAGGUGCGUACGAGUAUAACUCUAAGAAAGGUGUCACAAAGGUGUGGUUCAUUGAAUUCAUACUUUUAAAUUGGUGAAUUGUGAAAGAGAUCAAUGUGUAAAUGAUGGGUUGUUGCCGUUUCACUUGAAACAAGCUGAUGUUUUAUUUCACUUAAGAAUUAUUAGGAAGGAUGUGGCCUUGAGUUAACAUUUAAUUAUGUUAUGUAGGAAGAAAUUGUUUUUUUUUU